rnacentral:misc_RNA from 1 species
GUGGGGGAGAAGAAGUUUCCAUUUAAUUUGGAAGUAUUCAGAAGGUAUAGGUAUACCUACAAGGACAAAUUCGAAGGUGGGUUAAGCAGAAACACCCCUACCCCCAAUCAAAUGUGAUAUGGCAAAAAGGCAGACAUCAAUAGAACAUGGGAAGAGAUGAAGGUGAGACAAAGCAAUCUAAAUCUCGUAAUGGUGAUAUUAUAUGCUGGAGGGAGCUACAUGUCAUAAAGCAACUAGUAUAGAAAGUUUGAUGCAGAGUACAUUUUGAUUAGUGAUGGGUCAUACAUCUUCUUCUUUACUCUCUACAAGUCCAAGGGCUUCUCCCAAAUUCAAAGUGUUUCUCAUGGUCCUCCUUCCAACACCUCCACUAUUGCCCUUCCUCAUCAUUGCCGCAAAUUCCCCAUAAUCUAUUUGU